rnacentral:tRNA from 1 species
GGUGGCUCAGUGGUAGAGUGCUUGCCUUGCAUGCACGAGGUCCUGGGUUCAAUUCCUCAGCACCA